rnacentral:rRNA from 1 species
UACAGAGGAUGCAAGCGUUAUCCGGAAUUAUUGGGCGUAAAGCGUCUGUAGGUGGCUUGUUAAGUCCGCCGUCAAAUCCCAGGGCUCAACUCUGGACAGGCGGUGGAAACGACCAAGCUGGAGUACGGUAGGGGCAGAGGGAAUUUCCGGUGGAGCGGUGAAAUGCGUAGAGAUCGGAAAGAACACCAACGGCGAAAGCACUCUGCUGGGCCGACACUGACACUGAGAGACGAAAGCUAGGGGAGCGAAUGGG